rnacentral:rRNA from 1 species
CUACGGGAGGCUCCAGUAAAGAAUCUUCCACAAUGGACGAAAGUCUGAUGGAGCAAUACCGCGUGAACGAUGAAUGUCGAAAGAUUGUAAAGUUCUUUUCUGAGGGAAGAAUUAUGACGGUACCUCAGGAAUAAGCACCGGCUAACUCCGUGCCAGCAGCCGCGGUAAUACGGAGGGUGCAAGCGUUACCCGGAAUUAUUGGGCGUAAAGCGUCCGCAGGCGGUUAAUUAAGUUAGUUAUUAAAUCUUGAAGCCCAACUUUGAGGCUGUAAUUAAAACUGAUUAACUAGAGACUUCCAGAGGCAUAUGGAAUUCUGUGUUUAGGGGUAAAAUCCGUAGAUACACAGAGGAACACCAAAAGCGAAGGCAGUAUGCUGGGGAAGUUCUGACGCUCAUGGACGAAAGCGUAGGUAGCGAACGGGAUUAGAUACCCGCGUAGUC